rnacentral:rRNA from 1 species
GACGAACGCUGGCGGCGUGCUUAACACAUGCAAGUCGAACGAUGAACCCGGAGCUUGCUCUGGGGGAUUAGUGGCGAACGGGUGAGUAACACGUGAGUAACCUGCCCUGGACUCUGGGAUAAGCGUUGGAAACGACGUCUAAUACCGGAUAGGACCUUGGAUCGCAUGAUCUGGGGUGGAAAGUUUUUUCGGUCUGGGAUGGACUCGCGGCCUAUCAGCUUGUUGGUGAGGUAAUGGCUCACCAAGGCGUCGACGGGUAGCCGGCCUGAGAGGGUGACCGGCCACACUGGGACUGAGACGCGGCCCAGACUCCUACGGGAGGCAGCAGUGGGGAAUAUUGCACAAUGGGCGAAAGCCUGAUGCAGCAACGCCGCGUGCGGGAUGACGGCCUUCGGGUUGUAAACCGCUUUUAGUAGGGAAGAAGGGCUUCGGCUUGACGGUACCUGCAGAAAAAGGACCGGCUAACUAC